AUAUUUCUAUACAGCUAAAAUAAAUAAGACAAUCUGGAAAGUAGUUCAGAGAUAGGAAAAUACAAGUCUGUUACUUUAGGCUUUCUCUUCUCUUGAUCAGUUUCUUCUUCCCUAAAUACCAAGGUAUUUUUUUUACAGAUAGUUGCUACCCAUAUUCAAGCAUUUACCUUGAAAACUUCUCAAGACAAGACAAGAAACCAUUAUCUGCUAUAAAUUUCCUAAAGCUGAGAAGGGUAAACAAGUUAGCCAAAGAUUAAAGCAUUAAAUUUGAAUUGUGCUGAGUUUAGUUUUUAGAGAAAGAAAGGGAGGGAGAGAGGGGAAAGAAGUCCUCUUAGAGGAAUCCAUUUAGAUGAUUAGAAAGCUUAAAAUUGGCAGCUGAUAAUGAAGAAGGAAAAGAAAUAGCCUGACUGUUGGAAAAUUUUGGUUUAAUUAAAUCUGUUUUCAAAAGUAAGUUUUUAUUUUUUAUUAUAAUUCCAAAUUAUUAUUCAAAGAUUAGAAAAUACCAAGGCAAAAAGGAAAAAUGUCAUGUAGAGACUACUGCUGUUGUGGGGGAAUUUUAACCAUAAGAGGUAACUAAAGGAGGAGUGACAUUCCACAGGGAAAUCAGAAGGCAGUUCAAAGUAGCAGAGCCCCCAAAUAGCCACAUUUCCACAACACUGUAAUAUUAUCAUUUAAUCAGAUUGCUUUCCUAAAACCAGCUUUAAAAAUGGCAGUGUGGAAAUAAUUUUGGUACGUGAACAGAGUAUAGGAUUAGGAAUUUUUAUGGAGAGAACCAUGCAUGUUCCAAAGAGAGGGAGCCCUGAACCUGGAGCAGUGAAACCAAAUUUCCUCUGCUUGGAAAUAUUGCUUAUUACUGUCAGCCUUGCUCACUUUCCUCUUAGACACUCAGACAUUUAACGCUUUUCAAGUCAGUUCUUAAACUUCCUUGUCUUUCUAGUACUCCAUCCUACCUAACUCUCCCACAAGCUUGGCUCUCACGGGAAUGAUAAUAAUAAUGACAGCAAAAGCAACUAAUGUUUAUACAGCACACUACAGCUUAUAAUGCUUUCAUAUACAUCAUCCCAUUUAAUAUUUAUAUUGGUAUUCUUUCAAAUAAUAUUAAAUGACCACCAGCUAAUUUUCAAAGUGAACAGAACAAUCUAGUGAAUUGGUGUUACAAUCCUCCUUUUAACAUGGGGAAAUUGUGCUUAUGAAGUGUAGGAAACUUCAUUCAGAGGACACAGCUUUUAUUUAAACCCAGGAUUCAGCUCUAGGACUACCUACUUUAAAAAUUAUGCUUUUUUUUUUUCCGUGCUACUUUGAAUAUGGAACUAAAGGGUCAGUGAGUCUGAAUUUCUGGGACCUGGACCCUUAGUGUUCUAUCAGAAGAAUUUGUUUCAGAUGGACUUUUAAGCCCUGAAGUUUUUCUGGACCUUCUUUAGCGGAUAUCAUGUACUUGACUCAUUUUCGUAUAAAUAUGGUGAUAAACAAAUAGUGAAAGAUAUCUUUGGUUCAGAAUACUAUCUUGCUGCAUAAAACCCAAGGGGCUUUGCUAAUAUUUACAGACAAAAUAGUAAAUCUUCCACAAACAGCACACCUUAAUUCCUUUUCAUUAUUUUGAAUAUGUUGCAUGUAAAUUUCAUUAGAGUAAAGCUUUUGUGUGUUUUGUUCAGGGCUAUAUUCCCAGUAUCUAGAAUAGUGACCCAUACUAGAUGUUCAACAAAUAUUUGUUGAAUGAAUGAAAGCACCUUGCUUUUUGUUAGCAUGGAGGUAAAAAUUAAUUUAAAGUGCUUUGCACACAUCAUUCAUUCAACAAGUUAAGCCUUGGCCAGUCACUGUACUAGGAACUGAGGAUAAAACAUAGAUUAUGUCCUGGUCAAAUGAUUCUGUACUGCUUUUAACUUGCAGGUGACAGAAAUCUAGUACAUUUGCUUAAUCAAAAAGAAAAGUGAAAUACAUUGGCUCAGAUAACUGAAAGUUUUGAGAGAGAAAUGUGGCUUCAGGCAUUACUUUCCUAGGGGGUUCAUGUGCUACAAGAGAUAUCUUCUUCCUCUUCAUGUCAGCUAUUUUUUUUUUCCCAAGAUAGGCUAUCUUUAAAAGACAGCAAGGAAGGAAAACAAUAUAUCCCUGGCACAUCUUUAGCUAAUGGUUGCAGACCAUUUCUAGAGAGUUGUAAAAUAGAUGAAAGAUGGUUAUGAUCUAAGUGAGGGUAAUAUCAAUGGGCAUGAUAAAAGUAAACUAAUUUGAACAAUAUUUACAGAGUAAAGUAGAUUAGUAGAGAGGAAUAGAGACAAUGAAGAAAGGGUGAAGAAAACUACCAAUUCUUGAAAAUAUGAAUAGAUCAAACAACAAGUACUGAAAUUGAAAAUGUGAUUUAAAAACUUACAAAAAACGAAAAUUCAGGACUGAUGGUUAUACAAGCAAAUCUAUAAAAUAUUCAGAGAAGAGUUAACACCUAUUCUUCUGAAGCUCUUCCAAAAAACUAGCAGAGGAAGGAACACUCUCAAACUCCUUCUAUGAGGCCACCACCACCCUGAGAUCCAAACCAGACAAGGAUGCCACAAAAAAGAAAAAUUACAGGCCAAUAUCACUGAUGAACAUAUGCAAAAAUCCUCCACAAAAUAUCACCAAACUGAAUACAAAUAUAUAUUAAAAGGAUCAUACACUAUGAUCAAGUGGAAUUUAUCCCAGGGAUGCAAGGAUUUUUUAAUAUCCACAAAUCAAUCAUGUGAUACACCACAUUAACAAACUGAAGAAUAAAAACCAUAUGAUCUCUCAGUAGAUGUGAAAAAAGCUUUUGACAAAAUUCAACACCUGUUUCUGAUAAAAACUUCAGAAAGUGGGCAUAGAGGGAACCACCUCAACAUAAUAAAAGUCAUAUAUGUCAAACCCACAGCUAUCAUUCUCAAUGGUGAAAAACUAAAAACAUUUCCACUAAGAUCAGGAACAAGACAAGGAUGUCCACUUUAACUACUACAUUGUUUUGGAAGUCCUAGCAAUGGCAAUCAGACAAGAAAAUGAAAUAAAAGAAAUCCAAAUUGGAAAAGAAGUAAAACUAUCACUCUUUGCAGAUGACAUGAUACUAUACUUGGAAAACCCUAAAGAUACUACCAGAAAACCCUUAGAACUCAUCAAUGAAUUCAGGAAAGAUGCAGAUACAAAAUCGAUAUACAGAAGUUGAUUGCAUUUCUAUAUACUAAAAAUGAGAUAUCAGAAAGAGAAAUCAGAGAAACCAUCCAAUUUACCAUUGCAUCAAAAAGAAAAAAAUACCUAGGAAUAAACCUACCUAAAAGGGGCAAAAGACCUAUACUCUGAAAACUGUAAGACACUGAUGAAAGAUACACAAACAGAUGGAAAGAUAUACCAUGCUCUUGGAUUAGAAGAAUCAAUAUUGUCAAAAUGACUAUACUACCCAAGGCAAUCUACAGAUUCAAUGCAAUCCCUUUCAAAUUAUCAAGGGAAUUCUUCACAGAACUAGAACAGAAUAUUUUAAAAUUUGUAUGGAGGAGUUCCCGUCGUGGCACAGUGGUUAACGAAUCCGACUAGGAACCAUGAGGUUGUGGGUUUGAUCCCUGGCCUUGCUCAGUGGGUUAACGAUCUGGCGUUGCUGUGAGCUAUGGUGUAGGUUGCAGACGCGGCUCGGAUCCCAUGUUGCUGUGGCUCUGGCAUAGACUGGCAGCUACAGCUCCAAUUAGACCCCUAGCCUGGGAACCUCCAUAUGCCAUGGGAGUGGCCCAAGAAAU
rnacentral:lncRNA from 1 species